rnacentral:misc_RNA from 1 species
AGUGAGAUAGUAUUUCUUUAACCUAACAGCAGAGUUUAAAGAGUGAAACAUCUAAACAAUAUUAAAGCACGUGCCAAUCAAAAUACCAAUGCUUUGGUUGAAGAAAUUAUAGGAAGCAGAUCCAUGAAUGUAAGAUCCUCAGAAAACAUGAAAACUAUUCAAUUUGUAUCAAGACAAGAAGUUGUUUCCACAGCAUACCAUGAUAAUUUCUCAAUUUUUGUUUUAUUCUAUUCUCCCUUAUAACAACUUUGAGGCUAUUGCAUCAUCCUGUCUCAUAAGAGAGAAGAAGCUACCAAAAACAAUUGUCACUACAGUAAGAGUUACCGUUAGAUAGUGAUAAAUUAAUUUUAAUCCUUGACGUAAAUGAGCAAAGUGAACACUUAAGUCUUUUUGAUGAGAUAGCCAAACCGAACAUUAUUAUUUACUUAUAAAUAUACUAUUAUGUCCUAAAUUACUCGAACACUCUUGCAAGGAAGAUUCCUCAGAAUUAAAAAAUUUCACUGCUAGUAACACAUCAAAUACAGCUGGGAUCUCUAGUAAGGGACGUUUUAGUACCUAAAACAGGUAUGAUUUGAGGUUAAAAAAAAAUGCUAAGGAAGUUUCUUUUAUUCUUUUCUAGCUAUGCUUGCAAAUUGCAAUGGCCUAAGCUCCCCAAGAAACAUCAGAUUAAUAACUUGGACCAGUUUAUGAAAAGGUUGGAAAAAUUAGGAAUUACUUCUACCAUAAGUAGCUAAAGCACAAAGCAAGAACAUAACCCAGCACAACAUCUAGAACACCUCCACUUCUUGAAUGUGCAAGCAAAUAUGUAUGCAUACUGACAAUAAUUAGAAAGUAAUACAGAUCAACAAACUCCAAAUUUCAAAUGGAAAAAUGGUAUUGUCUGCACACCAAAAGGGAAGAGAAUAUUAUAGCUAAAGGAAGUUUCAUUUAAUAAUAUGUCAUGUGACAAGAUUCAUCCCUUAACUACAUUGACAUUUUUUUAUCAAAAGCACAUAGAGAAGCAGUGAAAACAUGCAUAUUAAAAUUUAGAAUCCAGCUAAACUUAAAAAGUCUCUUCUACCUAUGUUGAUUUAUUGCAGAUCAUUUACAAUUCUACGCUUAAUAUUUAGUAAUAGCUACUUGAAUAAGCCAGCUUUAUAAUAUUAUUCUAUAAUAUCACAUCAGAGAAUAAGAUAUUGACUACAGAUAUGAUAAUUGAUGGGGCUACUUUGUACGUUUAUCAGUUCUAGAAGAUGCUCUAGCUUUAAGAGUGUUGUUUAGGCCACUAAAAGCUUCAACUUGGCAGUUAAAGUUUCAGAAUGAGCCAAGUUUAAAAGCCCUACAUUUGGGUUAUUUUCAUCUCUUGUUUAAAAUAUGGUCUCUAAAACUUCAACCAGUACGCUCAUGAGCGUCUUGUUCAGGAGACCAGUACAUCAAUCAACCAAAAUAGUGAAUAAUUUCCCCACUCUCCAUUCUCUAUUUUUAUUUUGAACCUACUUGUCCAUUCAAGUCAAAUGCUACCAGCGUCAUUAUCUCCAUAAAUAAUACAUUCACCGAUUAGCAAAUUAGCUACAGAAAAAAUCAAGCUUUACUAAAAAUAAACAAAUUCAAUCAGAAAAUUAAAACGCAUUAUACUGAUAUUCAAACUUUACCUUCUCCUUGUUUACAUCAGUG